rnacentral:lncRNA from 1 species
AAAAACAAACAAAUUAUUAAAUAAAUGCAUUCUUUAUAAGUUUCAAACAUAAUUUAGAAAGUUACAAGUUUGAAAAGGUUGACUUUUCCAAACAGUGUUCAUUAUGUAUAUUGUUAUUUUUUGUUUGUUUUUAAUUUGUCAAGUCAUCCAUAUUAAAAAAUUAAAAAUGUUUUCUCCUCUGUUGAGGCAUAUGGUAGAAAGAUUUGAUAUCGAAUGUACUAAAUUUGGGUCCGACGUCCGUGAACUUUUCAAUCUUUGAACUUCUAUUUGGGAACCACGUAAAAGGAUCAAUAUAUGAAUCUGUUAUUUUUCUCCAUUGUUGAAGCAUAUGAUAAAAAGAUCAUAACA